GCCCGGGUGGUGGAAUUGGUAGACACAGGAGACUUAAAAUCUCCCGACUUCACGGUCGUAGCGGUUCAAGUCCGCUCCCGGGCACCA
rnacentral:tRNA from 1 species